rnacentral:rRNA from 1 species
UACGUAGGUGGCAAGCGUUGUCCGGAUUUACUGGGCGUAAAGAGCGCGCAGGCGGUCGUUCAAGUCGCGUGUGAAAGCCCCCGGCUCAACUGGGGAGGGUCACGCGAUACUGAUCGACUCGAAGGCAGGAGAGGGAUGUGGAAUUCCAGGUGUAGCGGUGAAAUGCGUAGAUAUCGUGAGGAACACCAGAGGCGAAGGCGGCUACCUGGACAAUUGCUGACGCUCAGGCACGAAAGCGUGGGGAGCAAAAGGG